CGAGAAAACUUUGCAAUGUGCGAAAGCACGACAAGGUUAAUCCGAGUGGUUUCUGCUAAAGGAACCUUUUGCCAGUCCUAGAAACACUGGUGAAUAAGGGGUGGGCAAGUUCUGGUGUCAGCCGCCGCGGUAAGACCAGCACCUCAAGUGGUCAGGAUGAUUAUUGGGCCUAAAGCAUCCGUAGCCUGCUUUGUAGUUUCGGUUAAAUCUAUUCGCUCAACGAAUAGGCUGCCGGGAAUACUGCAAAGCUAGGGAGUGGGAGAGGUAGACGGUACUCGGUAGGAAGGGGUAAAAUCCUUUGAUCUAUUGAUGACCACCUGUGGCAAAGGCGGGUCUACCAGGACACGUCCGACGGUGAGGGAUGAAAAGCUGGGGAGCAAACCGGAUUAGAUACCCGGGUAAGUCCCAGCUGUAAACUAUGCAAAACUCAGUGAUGCAUUGGCUUGUGGCCAAUGCAGUGC
rnacentral:rRNA from 2 species